UUACGACCAUAUCACGUUGAAACACCGGUUCCCGUAAGAUCACCGAAGUUCAGCAACGUUGAGCCUAGUCAGCACCUAGAUGGGCGAUCCCUUAGGAAUAACUGGUACUGUAAG